rnacentral:rRNA from 1 species
UACGAAGGGGGCUAGCGUUGCUCGGAAUCACUGGGCGUAAAGCGCACGUAGGCGGAUCUUUAAGUCAGGGGUGAAAUCCUGGAGCUCAACUCCAGAACUGCCUUUGAUACUGAGGAUCUCGAGUCCGGGAGAGGUGAGUGGAACUGCGAGUGUAGAGGUGAAAUUCGUAGAUAUUCGCAAGAACACCAGUGGCGAAGGCGGCUCACUGGCCCGGUACUGACGCUGAGGUGCGAAAGCGUGGGGAGCAAACAGG